AUUUCCUCAAAUGGAGACAAUAAAACAAUGGAUGAACGUCCAUGCAAUUCAGCUCAUUAUGCUUUUUUAUCCUGUUUAGUCAACACCUUAACUUUGGCAAUUUUUUUACGCAUUUCUUCAUUGCCAAAAAUAAUUGUCCUUCUUUUUCUUACAACAUUGUACUUAAUAGUUUUGGAACUCAGUGGAUAUAGGAGAACAAAAUGG